rnacentral:rRNA from 1 species
CCUACGGGUGGCAGCAGUGAGGAAUAUUGGUCAAUGGGCGCGAGCCUGAACCAGCCAAGUAGCGUGAAGGAUGACUGCCCUACGGGUUGUAAACUUCUUUUAUAAAGGAAUAAAGUGAGGCACGUGUGCCUUUUUGUAUGUACUUUAUGAAUAAGGAUCGGCUAACUCCGUGCCAGCAGCCGCGGUAAUACGGAGGAUCCGAGCGUUAUCCGGAUUUAUUGGGUUUAGAGGGUGCGUAGGCUGUGAGGUAAGUCAGCGGUGAAAUGCCCCCGCUCAACGGGGUGAAGUGCCAUUGAUACUGCCUUGCUGGAAUGCGGAUGCCGUGGGAGGAAUGUGUGGUGUAGCGGUGAAAUGCAUAGAUAUCGCGCAGAACCCCGAUUGCGAAGGCAGCGUGCCGUGCCGCCACUGACGCUGAGGCACGAAAGCGCGGGGAUCGAACAGGAUUAGAUACCCGUGUAGUC